CUGGACAAACAUCCCCACCACGGCAGCACCAGUACAAACACACUCUCUCUCUCUCUAAACAAUCACCUUCAAAUCUUUUUCCAGUUUUCACAUAUUUAAAAUCCGAUUUUCACUUUUCUAAAUUCUUGUCAACAAACAAACAAUCCAUACACAUCUUCCAUGAAAGCUCUCCACCAUUGCCACUCUCACUAAAGAUGAUGCAGAAGCCUCCACAUGAAGAUUUCUCCCUCAAGGAGACUAAACCGCACCUCGGUGGGGUAAAAGUCACCGGGGAUAAGCUCACCAGCACGUAUGACCUCGUGGAACAAAUGCAAUACGUAUAUGUUCGUGUUGUAAAAGCAAGAGAGUUACCAUCAAAGGACAUUACAGGUAGUUGUGACCCAUAUACCGAGGUUCGUUUGGGAAAUUACAAGGGCGUGACCCGUCAUUUCGAGAAGAAAACGAAUCCCGAAUGGAACCAAGUGUUUGCGUUCUCUAAAGAGAGAGUUCAAGCAUCUGUUCUUGAGGUUACUGUGAAAGAUAAGGAUGUAGUUAAAGAUGACUUCAUCGGUCGGGUUUUAUUCGAUCUUAACGAGGUUCCAAAACGGGUCCCGCCAGAUAGUCCGUUAGCUCCCCAAUGGUAUAGACUGGAAGAACGAAAAGGUGAAAAACUUAAGGGAGAGUUAAUGCUUGCCGUUUGGUGGGGUACACAAGCAGACGAAGCGUUCGCUGAAUCAUGGCAUUCCGAUGCUGCAACUGUUAGCUUUGCUGACGGUGUAGCCAAUAUUCGGUCAAAAGUUUAUCUUUCACCGAAACUUUGGUAUCUUCGAGUUAACAUAAUCGAAGCACAAGACUUGAUCCCGACAGAUAAAACCAGGUUCCCUGAAGUUUACGUGAAAGCCGAACUUGGAAAUCAGCAUUUGCGGACAAGAAUCUCUAUGAACAAGUCUAUUAACCCGAUGUGGAAUGAAGAUCUCAUGUUUGUCGCUGCAGAACCGUUUGAGGAGCCCUUGAUUUUGAGUGUCGAAGAUCGUGUUGCACCCAACAAAGAUGAAGCGCUUGGAAAGUGCGUUAUUCCGUUACAAUACGUUGAGCGACGGUUGGACCAUAAAGCUAUCAAUACGCGAUGGUUUAAUCUCGAAAAACAUGCUGUCGUGGAAGGGGAAAAGAAGAAAGAAGUCAAGUUUGCUAGCAGGGUUCAUAUGAGAAUUUGCUUAGAAGGCGGUUAUCACGUUCUCGAUGAAUCGACUCACUACAGCAGUGAUCUUCGACCGACAGCUAAACAGCUGUGGAAAAGUAGCAUCGGGGUUCUCGAAGUUGGGAUCUUGAGUGCUCACGGGUUAACGCCAAUGAAGACGAAAGAUGGACGGGCGACCACUGAUGCAUACUGUGUGGCCAAGUACGGGAACAAAUGGAUCCGAACAAGAACAAUUGUGGACAGUUUUGCCCCGAAAUGGAACGAGCAAUAUACUUGGGAGGUUUUCGACCCCUGUACUGUUGUAACCAUUGGUGUUUUCGAUAACUGUCAUUUACACGGUGGGGAUAAGGCUGGCGGGGCUAAGGACUCGAGAAUCGGGAAGGUUAGGGUUCGGUUGUCAACUCUUGAAACUGACCGAGUUUACACCCAUUCUUACCCGUUGUUGGUUUUGCACCCAACCGGUGUUAAGAAAAUGGGUGAGAUUCAUUUGGCGGUUAGGUUUACAUGUUCCCGUUUACUAAACAUGAUGCAUAUGUACUCCCACCCAUUGUUGCCGAAAAUGCACUACGUUCACCCGCUAACUGUUGCCCAGCUUGAUAGCUUGAGACACCAGGCUACACAAAUUGUGUCCAUGCGACUCGCACGGGCGGAGCCACCGUUGAGAAAAGAGGUUGUGGAGUAUAUGCUAGAUGUGGGUUCUCACAUGUGGAGUAUGAGAAGAAGUAAGGCUAAUUUCUUUAGAAUCAUGGGGGUUUUCGGCGGGUUAAUCGCGAUCGGGAAAUGGUUUGAUCAAAUCUGUAACUGGAAGAAUCCCAUAACCACUGUUCUUAUCCAUAUCCUGUUCUUGAUACUGGUUUUGUACCCAGAACUUAUUUUACCAACCGUUUUUCUCUACCUUUUCUUAAUUGGAAUAUGGUACUACAAAUGGAGACCGAGAAACCCGCCCCACAUGGACACGCGUCUCUCAUGUGCUGAUAAUGCUCACCCUGAUGAACUUGAUGAAGAGUUCGACACGUUUCCGACUUCUCGCCCUCCUGAUCUUGUGAGAAUGAGAUAUGAUCGGUUAAGAAGUAUUGCGGGUAGGAUUCAGACGGUUGUCGGUGAUUUGGCAACUCAAGGAGAAAGGUUUCAGUCGUUACUCAGCUGGAGAGACCCGAGAGCUACUGCAUUGUUUCUGAUUUUCUGUUUGGUUGCUGCCGUUGUUCUUUAUGUCACACCUUUCCAAGUCGUGACCCUUAUUACAGGUUUCUAUGUGUUGAGACAUCCCAAGUUCCGCCAUAAGCUACCCGGGGUUCCGCUCAAUUUCUUCAGGAGAUUGCCAGCUAAAACUGAUUCCAUGCUAUGAUUAACAGAGGUCAUAUGGAAGCUAAACGAUUUGCAGGGUAUUCAAAUCUUUUUAUUACAUUGUUCAUAGAAAGAAGGCAAGGAGUAUAAUCGGAAAGGUGCAUCAUCCUGGUAUGCUGAUUUCUGUGUUAGAGAGUUUACUUUGAUCAUCUUUUCAUUUGUGGCUAUUGAUUUGAAGCUAUCUAUAGUUUUUAUUUACAUGGAAAACUGCUGCAAGAUUAUUGAACCAUAAUGGAUUUUAUGAACUAGCAUAUGAAUAUUUAUUAACUUGUGUUUA